GACGAACGCUGGCGGCGUGCUUAACACAUGCAAGUCGAACGGCAAGGCCCUGCUUUUGUGGUGUGCUCGAGUGGCGAACGGGUGAGUAACACGUGAGUAACCUGCUCUUGACUUUGGGAUAACUUCAGGAAACUGGGGCUAAUACCGUAUAGGAGCCCCUGCUGCAUGGUGGGGGUUGGAAAGUUUCGGCGGUUGGGGAUGGACUCGCGGCUUAUCAGCUUGUUGGUGGGGUAGUGGCUUACCAAGGCUUUGACGGGUCGCCGGCCUGUGAGGGUGACCGGCCACAUUGGGACUGAGAUACGGCCCAGACUCCUACGGGAGGCAGCAGUGGGGAACAUUGCACAAUGGGCGGAAGCCUGAUGCAGCAACGCCGCGUGCGGGAUGACGGCCUUCGGGGUGUAAACCGCAUUCGCCUGUGACGAAGCGUGAGUGACGGUAAUGGGUAAAGAAGCACCGGCUAACUACGUG
rnacentral:rRNA from 1 species